UGGGGAAUAUUGGACAAUGGGCGCAAGCCUGUUCCAGCCAUGCCGCGUGAGUGAUGAAGGCUCUAGGGUUGUAAAGCUCUUUCACCGGUGAAGAUAAUGACGGUAACCGGAGAAGAAGCCCCGGCUAACUUCGUGCCAGCAGCCGCGGUAAUACGAAGGGGGCUAGCGUUGUUCGGAUUUACUGGGCGUAAAGCGCACGUAGGCGGAAUUUUAAGUCAGGGGUGAAAUCCCGGGGCUCAACCCCGGAACUGCCUUUGAUACUGGAAGUCUUGAGUAUGGUGGAGGUGAGUGGAAUUCCGAGUGUAGAGGUGAAAUUCGUAGAUAUUCGGAGGAACACCAGUGGCGAAGGCGGCUCACUGGACCAUUACGGACGCUGAGGUGCGAAAGCGUGGGGAGCAAACAGG
rnacentral:rRNA from 1 species